UUCGCCAUUUAAUUGAUGGAUAGUAUGAAUGGUNAAACGAAUAUAACACUGUCUUAAAUAUAAAUUUUAUAAAAUUAAAAUAAUAGUAAAGAUGCUAUUUAAAACUGUAAGACGAGAAGACCCUAUAGAGCUUAACUAUAACUCUUUUCAAUAAUACAAGCUUACUUGAUAAAAAAAGAGAUAGGUAGUUUAGUUGGGGCGACUACUUUCUAAAAAUAACGAAAGGAAACAAUAAUUAAUUAUUUAAUUUACUGUAUAAACAAUAAUUUUAACAGUUAUAAAAAUAGGUAAUAAUGACCCGUUAUAAAUACAUAAUAAUUAUAACGACUAAUAAAUAAAAGCUACCUUAGGGAUAACAGGAUUAUCUUGUUCUAGAGAUCUUAU
rnacentral:rRNA from 1 species